CGCUGGCGGCGUGCUUAACACAUGCAAGUCGAACGGAGUGGUCCUCCCGAAGACCUGAUUGAGCUUGCUCUUGAUGGAAUUCAUUUGGAUCACAUAGUGGCGGACGGGUGAGUAACGCGUGGGUAACCUGCCCUAUACUGGGGGAUAGCAGUUGGAAACGACUGAUAAUACCGCAUAAGCGCACAGCAUCGCAUGGUGCAGUGUGAAAAACUCCGGUGGUAUAGGAUGGACCCGCGUCUGAUUAGCUAGUUGGUGAGGUAACGGCCCACCAAGGCGACGAUCAGUAGCCGGCCUGAGAGGGUGUACGGCCACAUUGGGACUGAGACACGGCCCAAACUCCUACGGGAGGCAGCAGUGGGGAAUAUUGGACAAUGGGGGAAACCCUGAUCCAGCGACGCCCGCGUGAGUGAAGAAGUAUCUCGGUAUGUAAAGCUCUAUCAGCAGGGAAGAUAAUGACGGUACCUGACUAAGAAGCACCGGCUAAAUACGUGCCAGCCGCAGC
rnacentral:rRNA from 1 species